rnacentral:rRNA from 1 species
GACGAACGCUGGCGGCGUGCUUAAUGCAUGCAAGUCGAACGAGAACCUCUUAGUAGGUAACUAUUGAGGGAUUUCUAGUGGCGAACGGGUGAGUAACACGUGAGCAACCUGCCCCGAAGACCGGGAUAGCCCAUGGAAACGUGGAUUAAUACCGGAUACCCUCGCGGAACCGCAUGAUUCUGCGAGGAAAUGCUCCGGCGCUUUGGGAUGGGCUCGCGGCCUAUCAGCUAGUUGGUGAGGUAACGGCUCACCAAGGCACUGACGGGUAGCUGGUCUGAGAGGACGAUCAGCCACACUGGGACUGAGACACGGCCCAGACUCCUACGGGAGGCAGCAGCAGGGAAUAUUGCACAAUGGGCGCAAGCCUGAUGCAGCGACGCCGCGUGAGGGAUGAAGGCUUUCGGGUUGUAAACCUCUUUCAGUGGGGAAGAAGCGCAAGUGACGGUACCCACACAAGAAGGCCCGGCCAACUACGUG